GAUGAACGCUGGCGGCGUGCCUAAUACAUGCAAGUCGAGCGAACGGACGAGAAGCUUGCUUUUCUGAUGUUAGCGGCGGACGGGUGAGUAACACGUGGAUAACCUACCUAUAAGACUGGGAUAACUUCGGGAAACCGGAGCUAAUACCGGAUAAUAUUUUGAACCGCAUGGUUCAAAAGUGAAAGACGGUCUUGCUGUCACUUAUAGAUGGAUCCGCGCUGCAUUAGCUAGUUGGUAAGGUAACGGCUUACCAAGGCAACGAUGCAUAGCCGACCUGAGAGGGUGAUCGGCCACACUGGAACUGGGACACGGUCCAGACUCCUACGGGAGGCAGCUGUAGGGAAUCUUCCGCAAUGGGCGAAAGCCUGACGGAGCAACGCCGCGUGAGUGAUGAAGGUCUUCGGAUCGUAAAACUCUGUUAUUAGGGAAGAACAUAUGUGUAAGUAACUGUGCACAUCUUGACGGUACCUAAUCAGAAAGCCACGGCUAACUACGUG
rnacentral:rRNA from 1 species